rnacentral:lncRNA from 1 species
AAGUAUAUUGGUGGAGAAACAGUGGAACCAAAACAAAAUCCCAUCAGGGCCCUGAUUCUGCUAUUCCGUUCAGUUCUCCUCUCUUUAGUUUUCCUGCUGAUUUCUGGUUUUGUGUGCUGUACUCCAAAUUACAGAGCACUCUGUAAACAACCUUGAACAAAAUAUUCCCAAGCAGAUUGUUGUAAAUUACACUAUUUCAAGUUUGUAUUGAGUGAGACUUUGCAUCUUUUGGUCUACUACAUCACCUAGAGCCAACAAUAGUUCGCCAAAGAAAAUUUGUUCAGAGAGUCUGGGUCGAGAAUACGCACUACAUGUCCACUCCUCGGCAGUUUUAAUUUAUUUAGAAAAAAAAUGAUUCUACCUGCUCGCCGCCUUAUAUAUGCUUAGCGUACUGGUUCUCUCUAGCACAGCAUUAUUAAGAAUUUUAUCUUCCCACUUGAUGGUGACAAGUUUUUGUAAGCGUAUCAGGCAGGCCUAUCGCCAGACAUUGGUGCCUGGGGGUACUUCAGAAUAUUCUAGGUGAACACUAAUUUGUAAUAAAGCCAAAGAGGGCUUUUGAAAUAGGUGUAUCACUGUAAAUCUGAGGGAGCACCAUUGAAUUGUAAGAGGGCAGUGCUGUCCAGUGCGGUCCAGUGCAACCCCUUAGCGACGGGCAUGUGAUGAAGUUUCUUGCAUGACCUUGGUAAACUGUUCAGAUAUCACAUCCGAAAGUAUCGUAGUCACUACAUCAGCUUUGUACACAUCAAACGUGGUCUUUCCCAAGCCUUGUGACGAUGACGUCCAAUGACACAGUUAACUUUUGCUAUCCUUGCGUUUAUUUCAUCAUCAAUGUGAGCACUCCUUGACAGUGUACUCUAAAGAUUAUAAUCUGGUGAUCUACGUUCUACUUACAACUGAGAGAUGUCGAGCAAGAUUCAAUGACUUGAACAAACUAAGGAUUCAUUACUAGGCAUUUGACUGCAGCCAUGCUGGAACACCGCCAUUAGUCG